CCUUGUACACACCGCCCGUCACACCAUGGGAGUUGGUUGCACCAGAAGUAGUUAGCCUAACCGCAAGGGGGGGCGAUUACCACGGUGUGGUCAAUGACUGGGGGUG
rnacentral:rRNA from 1 species